GACCUGCAGGAGGAGAUGGAAGAAAGAAAAUCAGCAGGUUUUGAGGAUGAGAAGAACCCAAGUAAUGGCAGAGGAGGUGCUGUGCAAGAGAGAUUGCUGCAGUAGCAUCCAGGACUGUCAGUGGAAGUGGGGAAUGACAUGACACCACCUUUUGGACACCCAGCUGGCAAGAGGUGCAUCUGCCUCGGAGACACAGUGCCUAUCUCCAGACGAUCAUUUGUUCAGCAAUAGCCAUGCCUCCUUUAUGCAUAAUCAUUCAAAAUAUAUGUCUUUGUCAUCAGAAAAAUAGAUAAUCAAAUUGUGCUAUACUCCUAAAACAGAAUAUCUCCUAGCAUAAGUAUACAACCAAAUGACUGAUGCAACCAAUUGCGAUGGAGCCUCAAAACCAGACACUGGUUGAAAGAACACAGAGAAAGGGACCCUCCUGCAUCUUUACAAUUCAGUGACAUGCAAGAAUAAACAAAACUCAUCUGUGGGGAGAGGAUUCCGG
rnacentral:lncRNA from 1 species